UACGAAGGGGGGCUAGCGUUGUUCGGAAUUACUGGGCGUAAAGCGUACGUAGGCGGAUUUGUAAGUAGGGGGGUGAAAUCCCCCAGGCUCAACCUGGGAACUGCCUUCUAGACUGCAAGUCUUGAGAUCAGGAGAGGCGAGUGGAAUUCCGAGUGUAGAGGUGAAAUUCGUAGAUAUUCGGAGGAACACCAGUGGCGAAGGCGACUCGCUGGACUGAUACUGACGCUGAGGUACGAAAGCGUGGGGAGCAAACAGG
rnacentral:rRNA from 1 species